AAAAGAGAAAACGGUUUUUAACCGGGAGCUCCGAACAGGAAAUGCGGACGGAAAAUAGGUAGAGGGAUUAUUUUUGGGAAAUUUGGAUAUGGAUCGGCGAAAGUAUUCUGGAGGAUGACGUGGUGAAUUUUGGGAUUAAUUGGAGGAAGUUUGGCGCAUGAAAUGACGGGUUAAACAGGGAUUAGGGGCUUAAACGGAGGUUUAGGGCUGAUUUUUAAUAAACCAGGGAC
rnacentral:lncRNA from 1 species